AACCAGCACCUCAAGUGGUCAGGAUGAUUAUUGGGCCUAAAGCAUCCGUAGCCUGUUCUGUAAGUUUUCGGUUAAAUCUAUGCGCUCAACGUAUAGGCUGCCGAAGAUACUGCAGAACUAGGGAGUGGGAGAGGUAGACGGUACUCGGUAGGAAGGGGUAAAAUCCUUUGAUCUAUUGAUGACCACUCGUGGCGAAGGCGAGCUACUGGACAUUUACUGACGCUGAGGCACGAAGGCCAGGGUAGCGAAAGGG
rnacentral:rRNA from 1 species